ACUUUGGUAGUUUAAUUAUUAAAAAUAAUAGUUUGUGAUACUAUAGAUAUAGAUUUAUCCAAGGUC
rnacentral:tRNA from 1 species